CUCAAAAUUGAAUAUACUGGCAUGAGUAGCGAAAAAUAAUGUAAAAAACAUUAUCGUCUAACGCCCAAAGUUUCUUAUGUACAGAUAAUCUACAUAAGGUUAGUCGGACCCUUAGAUGUAAAUGUAAAUUAAAAUUGAUGGGUAUUAGAUUAAUAUUUCUAAACUACUAAAAGGUGAC
rnacentral:rRNA from 1 species